CAGCCGCCGCGGUAAUACCGGCGGCCCGAGUGGCGGUCACUAUUAUUGGGCUUAAAGCGUCCGUAGCCGGGUUGGGAAGUCCUCCGGGAAAUCUGGCCGCUUAACGGUCAGAAUGCCGGAGGAUACUCCCAGCCUAGGGAGCGGGAGAGGCCGAGGGUAUUCCCGGAGGAGGGGAGAAAGCCUAUAAUCCCGGGAGGACCACCUGUGGCGAAGGCGCUCGGCUGGAACGCGUCCGACGGUGAGGGACGAAGGCCAGGGGAGCAAACCGGAUUAGAUACCCGGGUAGUCCUGGCUGUAAACGAUGCGGACUUUGUGUCGGACAAGCUAUGAGCUUGUCCGGUGCCGGAGGGAAACCGUUAAGUCCGCCGCCUGGGGAGUACGGCCGCAAGGCUGAAACUUAAAGGAAUUGGCGGG
rnacentral:rRNA from 1 species